CCGUGGGUUGCCCAGAGAAGCUGCUCCUGUGGCUACGGCCGAGGGUCAGUGGGAAAACCUGAACAGUCCUGAUGGAAACGAUGGAAAAACAAGUUUGGUUUGGUUGUGGACUUGGCAUUUUCCCCCUGACCCCGACCUGAUCUAGGUGUUUUGCCUUAGGGAACAGGAGACAGAAGGGGAAAUGGAGAAAAAGAUAAUUCAUUACCUCAACAGGGACAAGCUUAUUUCUAUUUGCUCCCUGAUGCACCUGGAAUGAGUUGGGUCUCAGGAGGCACCUGGGAGCCUCCUUUUGUGUCCUGGGUGUGGCCGUGGCUAUAAAAGGGGUAAAGGAUGGAGGAGGGGCAGUGGCUGGGAUCAGUGGUGCCCUGCGGAUUUGCAUCUGGAAGCGGCCGCCAGUUUCCUGAUGAGAGUCCUGGAAACAGAACUCGAAGUCUGUAAGAAGUGCGAAUACUGUAGCUGGAGUGCUGAGAAUGGAGGAUCUUCAGAGAAUGUUGUCUGGGCAGCGUCUGACCCCAGGUCUCAGGGACUGCAUGGAGAUUCCUCUGGAGCAGGGUCACUCUGUGAGGAUGAGCCACAGAGGUUCAGUUCUUGGAGCAGGACAGGAAAAAUCGUUAAACUCCUCCCAUCUUUGCCAGAAGCUUCGGUGUUUAAGCAGCCAAAGCCAAGAGUCUUCAGCACCAGGGCUCUGUGUUACUAUUGGACAUGAAAUGAGUACACAGAAGCUUGGGCAACAGGUCUGCGCUGGAGGGCUCCUGGUCCUGCCCACGCUGUGGGGCCAGCAGGAACAAGGGGGAAUGUGGUGCCAGAGCUGUGUUCUGUCGGGCUGCGCUUCCCUCUGAGGACAGAGUCUGGGCUGAGGUGAGAUUGUUGUGAGUGCCUGCAUGAGCAAUCCAGGGAACUCGGAAUUGCAUCCGCUGCUGGGAACACUGCCUGAGGUCUGCUCAGUUUGUGUCUGUGAGGAGUGGGAUUUGGGCUGCAGAGGUGCUGUUGGCACAAAAACCAGAGUAAAUCCUCUCCCGGGAUGAGCAGUGAAGGACAGUGUAGCAGGGAAGGGGAGUAUUUACAAAGUAUGUCAAUAUUUCUCCCAAAACUGAGAGAAAUGGGGUGGAACAGAGAUGGGGGUGGUUUGGUUUUUUUGUCUGGGCCUGUUAUUCCUUGUGCAAGGUUUUAAAUCUGUUGUAUGAUUUACUCUCCAGUAUCUUUCUAACAAAAGAUGACUGAAAUUUAGUUUCGGGGUUAGAAGUUGGGUCCAUUCACUGCAAAGUCUUGCCAAGGCUGGAGGACUGGGGUGAUGGCUGCUCUCAGCAAAGGUUACUUUACUAAUACUGUGUCAGAUUUCCCUCAGUGCUGGGCAGGAAAGGUGAGGGUUUGGAUCAGGAAUUCUGCAAACAAGGCCUGUGUGAUGUUGGUUGUGGAGUUGUGUUUUUUAUGUUUUAUUACAUUUGUGUUAUGUAUAGGUUUGUUCCAUGUACCCCCGGUUCUAUAAUGGUUUCUCCCCGGGUUUUCCCGCCUUUCCCCCGUGUGUCCGUUAUCCCCAAAAGUGCUAAGUCAUCCCCCUGUUUACCCCAGAUGCCUGUCCGUCACUCUGUGUCCCUUCCCAUCCACCUAGAAUCUUCCAUCCGGGACACCGGGUGAUUGGUAAAGGACCUGGGACCCUUCCCCUGUCUAUCCUUCAUUGGAUGUACCCCCGUAUCACACCACCCUCGAACCCCUCCGCAGUUUUACCCCAUUGGCUGUUUGGUUUUCCCCGAUUCCGUAUUUAGUUCAUUUGCGCGGUUUGUUUCAUGCUUUCUUCUGGUGGGCUCCAGCGCACUCCACCCUGCCCGCGCCUUUCCGGCAAACCCCAGCGCGGCACGCCUGGUCCCCUUCGAGUUAUUGUAUUCCCCGUUGGAUUACAAUAAACGGAAUUCGCCCACAGAGAAAGACUCUCCUCGUAAUUCGCCGUGGGGUCGCUGGCUGCUCUCUGGAACUCCAAUAGCGCUUCCCAAAGCCCGCGAGGGUCCAGCGGGAAGCGCUAGAAACCUGCCCGCACCUCUCCCCUGAAGAGCUAGCCGGGGCUGAGGAAGGGCAUCGGGGAGAGAAGCGUCGGCAGUUGGUUGUUAUAAAUUAAAAUUUGUCCAGCCAAAUUAAUAUAAAAAAUAAAAUAUUUAUUUUGCAAUCAAAUUCUAUCUAGCCAGCCACAAGGAAAGAACAGAGCCGAGCCCGGGGUCGGCCCUGGGUGUGCAACAAGGAGUCAGCCUCAGCAGAGGUUUUCCUCCAUGCCCACACACUUCUGUCCUGGCACAAGCGGUUUUUAUAGGGAAAAUUCCGCCUGAGGCCAAGAUUUCAGCAAUCAGUCUUUUCUUCUAUUCAGAGUCUAUAUGUUAAUAAGAUUUUCCUUUUUGGUGAAGAGGGAGAGCAAAUCACUUUCCAGAGUUUGUUGAAUCCUUGAGAACGUGUAAACUCUCAGUUUACCCCACACAACCGCGCCCCUACACUACAAACCCUUCACCAUCGUACCCACACAGUUUCUCUCUCACUCACUCAGGGCAUACUCUUAAUUACAGCCACAAAAACAGAAGUUAUUUUAUUCUUUUUCUGCUUAAUAUCCGUGUCUUGUAUUUGUACAUCAAUCCCAGCUUCUCCCAAGGAGGCAGAUCAAAUCUUUCAGUGACUGUGGGAGUUUCUGGUUUUCCGAUUCCCACUUCUCCCCUCUUUCUGUAUUAAAACCAAUUUUUAUUAAUGGAUUUGUUAAGCAUUUGUUACAUAUAUUAAGAUAAAUAAGGUGUUAUCAUUAGUAGUAGUAUUAUUAUAAUAAUUAAAAUGUAUAAUUCUGUCAUAAGAUUUUUAAUUAUGUUGUUACAUUUUAUUUAUUAAAUAAAUUGUCAAUUAAGUUUUAUUAUUUAUUCUUAUUUUUGCUAUUUCUUACAGUUGUACAUUUUUAUAAAUAGAUUUUGAGUGACUAGAUAAAUGUAUACAUUGCAUUAAAAUUUUUAUAUUUAUGUAUGUGUGUUAAUAAAAGAAAAUUGAUUGUGUUUUGUAAAACUGCAUGUUUAAUAUUUUUGAUAUUUGUUAAAAAGUCAUUUAAUGUAAGGGAUGUAGUAUUAGAUUGUUUAUUUAGAUAAUAUUUUAAAUUAUUUAAUUGUUUUAGUGUUGUUGAAGUAAUAGGUGGUAUAAAAAGUGAUGCUACGAUUUUUUUUAAAGUUUCAAGGCUUAAAAUUACUUUUAUAUUUUGAUUACUAUUGAUGGAUAAAUGAUUUUUUUGUUUUAAAUUGGUAGUUAUUUUUAUAUUAAGAGUUAAUAAUAUAAGGGGUUUUAAUUAUAUGGAUUAUUUGUAAUGCUUUUUACUGGUAUAUUAAGUAAGUAAAGAAUGGAUUUUUUUGAGUAAUGACAGAUAAAUACAACAUAUUUAAACUUGAAACUUUAGUUAAAGUUACUUAAAGUUACUGUUUUAGGUUGGUUAAUUGGUAAAGAGAUAUAAUUAAAGUUAAAUAAAGUAAAUAGAGUAGAAGUAUAAUAUUUGAUGGAAUUUUAUAAUUUUAAAGUUAUUAAAUAGUAAGAUUUUUAUAUUUAUAAAGAAAUUUAAAGUUUAUAUUUUUUUGUGGGUGUAAAAGUUGGAAUUCCUGUGUAAUUUACAUUUGUGGAAUUUACAUUUGUAUUUACAUUGUGUAAUUUAUGUUUGUAUUUACAUUUUUUUUUUUAUUUGUGGAGUGGUGAGUGUGUUUUUUGUGUGAUAUUAUUUUAUAUUUCUUAUUGAAAUUGACUUGUGGUUUUGUACUUGUUGAGAUAUAAGUAAACUUUAUGUUUUGAUAUGAGAAAUAAAGUUUUGUUAAGUUUUGUUUUAUAAAAUUGCAUAGAGAUUUGCAAGAUAAUGAAUAAGUUAUUAUAUUUUUUUAGUUAUAAGUAUGAAGAAAUAUAAAAGUAAAAAUGUAUGUAGUAAAGAAGAAAUUGAUAAUAAUUAGGAAUUAUUUAGAUAAUAGCUAUAAUUAGUAACAUAUCUGAAAUUAUAUAAUUAGUAAGUAUUAAAAUAAUGUACAUUAUUUUAGAGUUUAUAACAGUUGAUAAACGUUUCAUUAGCGGAAGGUUGGAUAAUUAUGUUUGGAUAAUGAUUUUUAAAGUUUAUUUUAAAAAUAAGUUUAUUUGUUAUAUUGAUAAAGUUGAAUUAUUACAUCAAAAUUAUUUGAAUUUUAUUUUUUAUGUAGAAAGUAUGUGGGUUUGUUGUUAAUUAUUUAGGUGGAGUUAGGGUUUGGUUAUAGUUUAAAUUUUAAUUGGUGGAUGUUACUGAAUAUAUUUUCAUAUAAUAUUUUUUAAAUUAGUAGCUAAGAUAGUAAAGUAAAGUAAAAGUUUUAGGAUUAAAGAUUAUUUACAUUAUUUAAUAAUUGGAUUUUUUAGAAGUUUUUUUGGAAUAGAGAUGUUUUUAAUAUAGUAAAAUUUUUUUUAAAGAAUUGAAAGUGGUUUUAGACAGGACUGUGAAUUUGGAUUUGGAUAUUGAGAGUGUGAAGGUGAAGGAAAUGUGUGAGAGAUUGGUUACUUACUGUGAAACUUAAAAAAAGAAAUUAAUGUUGUAGUUGGAUUUUUAUUUAAGUGUUUUUGUAAUAAUAACUGAGGAAAGUGAUAAGAUUAACAGUUUGGAGGAGGUUUUUAAUGAAGUUUAAUUUUUCUUUUUUUUUUAAUUUUGAAAAAUAAUUAAAAUUGUGAGAUAACAUUAGGUUAAAUUAGAGUUAGUGUAGAGAUUAGUUAGAGAGUUAACCUAGUUUAAGUGAUGUAUAAAUAGAGAAUAAAAAAAGUAGGAUUUAGAAAUUUUAUGGUUUUUUUAGAUCAUUAUAUAAAGAGAUGAUAAAGUAUAUGAAAGUUGAUUGUAAAUAUUAUACUAAUAUUUUAUAAAUAAUGUUUAUUAUAAAAAUGAAUAUAUUUGCAUUAUAUAAUUAUUAUAUUAGUAGUAAGUGUUUGAAGUAAUUAGGAUAACUUUGAAGAAAAUAUUUAUAUAUGUCCAAGAUUGAAGACCAAGAUGUUUCCUAUUACCAUCCGAGUAGCAGUUGCCUCUGGGCAGUUUUCCUUAUCUCCUGCUCAUAGGCUCAUCAGUGUCUUGCCACGUGACUCAGAUAACACUCUCCAGGAGCCAGUUCCAUUUAACAGGUGAUCAAGGACACACCUCCUGACUCAAUAACAUCAGCCCAUUGUGAGCUGCUCCACCCAGGGGAGGAGCUAGACAUUCACACCUGGAUAAAUCCGGGGAUUUCUAGACAGAGAGGCAGCCUCUCCACAGGUUUCUGAGAAAACAGGGCAACCACAUCUGCCAUUCCAAGAGGACUGCAGCCACUCCAAUUUAGACUGCUACCAGCACGCUAGCCAAAGGGGUGUCAGGUUGUAUUCUGACUUUGUCAGUGGUCUUCCUUUUGUAUCAUUGCAUGCAUUUUUGUCUUCUUCCCUUUUCCCAAUAAACUGUAUUUCUGACUUGGAUUCUCUCACUGGUUGUGCUUUCAAACCAGAACAAUAUAUUAAGGAAAUAGAGUAAAAAUUGUAAAAUAGUAUGAUAUUGAUAGUAAUUAUUAUUUU
rnacentral:lncRNA from 1 species